CCUACGGGGGGCUGCAGUAAGGAAUAUUGGUCAAUGGGCGGAAGCCUGAACCAGCCAUCCCGCGUGCAGGAUGACUGCCCUAUGGGUUGUAAACUGCUUUUAUCUGGGAAUAAACCACUCUAUUUAUGGGGUGUUGAAGGUACCAGAAGAAUAAGCACCGGCUAACUCCGUGCCAGCAGCCGCGGUAAUACGGAGGGUGCAAGCGUUAUCCGGAAUCACUGGGUUUAAAGGGUGCGUAGGCGGCUGUAUAAGUCAGGGGUGAAAGGCUACAGCUUAACUGUGGAAUUGCCUUUGAUACUGUAUAGCUUGAAUAAGGAUGAGGUUGGCGGAAUGUGGCAUGUAGCGGUGAAAUGCAUAGAUAUGCCAUAGAACACCAAUUGCGAAGGCAGCUAACUGGACCUUUAUUGACGCUGAGGCACGAAAGCGUGGGGAUCAAACAGGAUUAGAUACCCUAGUAGUC
rnacentral:rRNA from 1 species